rnacentral:rRNA from 1 species
AGAGUUUGAUCCUGGCUCAGGACGAACGCUGGCGGCGUGCCUAAUACAUGCAAGUCGAGCGAGCGGAACUAACAGAUUUACUUCGGUAAUGACGUUAGGAAAGCGAGCGGCGGAUGGGUGAGUAACACGUGGGGAACCUGCCCCAUAGUCUGGGAUACCACUUGGAAACAGGUGCUAAUACCGGAUAAGAAAGCAGAUCGCAUGAUCAGCUUUUAAAAGGCGGCGUAAGCUGUCGCUAUGGGAUGGCCCCGCGGUGCAUUAGCUAGUUGGUAAGGUAAAGGCUUACCAAGGCGAUGAUGCAUAGCCGAGUUGAGAGACUGAUCGGCCACAUUGGGACUGAGACACGGCCCAAACUCCUACGGGGGGCAGCAGUAGGGAAUCUUCCACAAUGGACGCAAGUCUGAUGGAGCAACGCCGCGUGAGUGAAGAAGGUUUUCGGAUCGUAAAGCUCUGUUGUUGGUGAAGAAGGAUAGAGGUAGUAACUGGCCUUUAUUUGACGGUAAUCAACCAGAAAGUCACGGCUAACUACGUGCCAGCAGCCGCGGUAAUACGUAGGUGGCAAGCGUUGUCCGGAUUUAUUGGGCGUAAAGCGAGCGCAGGCGGAAGAAUAAGUCUGAUGUGAAAGCCCUCGGCUUAACCGAGGAACUGCAUCGGAAACUGUUUUUCUUGAGUGCAGAAGAGGAGAGUGGAACUCCAUGUGUAGCGGUG